UACGUAGGGUGCAAGCGUUGUCCGGAAUUAUUGGGCGUAAAGAGCUCGUAGGCGGUUUGUCGCGUCUGCUGUGAAAAUCCAGGGCUUAACCCUGGACCUGCAGUGGGUACGGGCAGACUGGAGUGCGGUAGGGGAGAUCGGAAUUCCUGGUGUAGCGGUGAAAUGCGCAGAUAUCAGGAGGAACACCGGUGGCGAAGGCGGGUCUCUGGGCCGAUACUGACGCUGAUGUGCGAGAGCGUGGGGAGCGAACCGG
rnacentral:rRNA from 1 species